rnacentral:lncRNA from 1 species
CCUUUCCAGAAACCCCCAGUAUUACAUCCAGGUACAAGAACCAGAGAUGUGGAAUGACAAUGUUGUGGUGGCACUGUCACAAAACAGUGCAAAUUAUGGAGGCAUUGGUUUUUGGAUCGUCAAGGUUGAACCAGAGGGCAGAACUGUGCUAAACCGGACAGGCCUUAUGAGAACACGAGAUGUCUCCAAACAGUUUAAGUUGAUUCCUGGGACCUAUAUCAUUAUUCCAACCAUGUCACCUGAAGACCCUGAGUCUGAGUUCCUUCUGCGGAUAUUUCUCAAGAAACAGAAUCAGAACACUCUCAGAGGGAAAUAUGCUGAGCCCAGCCCAGUGAUGACAAAGGUAUGUGGAUGAGUAACAUCAUGAAAACAAUGAAAGUUCAUUUUAUCUGAAGCUAAGUACACCUGAACCUGCUCUUAUUAUUUUACCUAUUCCCUGAGAGAACAAGAUAAUGGGCAAGGUCAGACAAGCCACCAUUUUUUUCAUAGCUGUGUGGUAAAAGAAUGCCAACAGGGUUAGCAUGUCUUGUCUAUUUCUGAUACAGCAAAGGAGAGGCUACCUAUCUUAUUUCAUUCUAGACCCAAUGAAUGGGUUCCAGUAGUUUCUUACCACAUCCACUCUGGCCAGUCCAUUUUCUUUAAUAAAUAAAUAAGGAUGCACCGUGGUUACUCCGUG